GAUGAACGCUGGCGACGUGCCUAAUACAUGCAAGUCGAGCGAACAGGCGAGGAGCUUGCUCCUCUGACGUUAGCGGCGGACGGGUGAGUAACACGUGGAUAACCUACCUAUAAGACUGGGAUAACUUCGGGAAACCGGAGCUAAUACCGGAUAAUAUAUUGAACCGCAUGGUUCAAUAGUGAAAGACGGUUUUGCUGUCACUUAUAGAUGGAUCCGCGCCGCAUUAGCUAGUUGGUAAGGUAACGGCUUACCAAGGCAACGAUGCGUAGCCGACCUGAGAGGGUGAUCGGCCACACUGGAACUGAGACACGGUCCAGACUCCUACGGGAGGCAGCAGUAGGGAAUCUUCCGCAAUGGGCGAAAGCCUGACGGAGCAACGCCGCGUGAGUGAUGAAGGUCUUCGGAUCGUAAAACUCUGUUAUUAGGGAAGAACAAAUGUGUAAGUAACUAUGCACGUCUUGACGGUACCUAAUCAGAAAGCCACGGCUAACUACGUG
rnacentral:rRNA from 1 species